GGAUGUUGCUACGAUGAUACACGUGUAUCCCAGCUCAUUAUGAGACCUUUUGUAGGUCUAAGAGUAGAAUUUUUCCACACAUAAAUCUGAGCUAUCG